rnacentral:lncRNA from 1 species
UUUAAGGAUGAGAAGAUAUAGAAUGGUGCACAUGUGCAAAGGCAAACAAAAUAGUGACUCUGAGGCUCAAGCGAUGUCCUCGUCGUUGGAUUGCACAUGGUUGGAAUGAAAAUCCGUUCGGUAAACAAGUUCAUCUUUUCUUUGCACCUCUCUUGAUCUUCAUGAUAGUAAAAAUUACUCCUUUAUUUCAUUCUCUCUUUUCCUAUUAUUUCUUUUUUUAUUUUUCUUAAUAUUUUCCUUUCUUUCUUCCCUUCUUUCUUUCUUUCUUUAUUUUUAAUCCCUUCUUUGAACCUAAUUUGAACAUCACACCAUAAAAAUCAGUUUUAGAUACUUCCACAGACCUUCCAGGAAUUUGUUGCGUGAAAACCAAGGCAAGGAGACCCUAGGCCGAUCGGCCUGGAUGGGACCAGGCCGAUCGGCCUGGACUCUCCUUUCCUCCCCUCUGGCUCUUCUUUUGGGUGAAGCUUCCUUAUCUUGUAUCUUUCCAAAAAUUUCAUAAAGCUCGACUAGAAACUAACCAGAUCUUCAUAUAAUGGGUUGCGUUCAAGGAAUAGGUAAUAAAUUGAGAAAUUUAUGGUUUCAGUUUAGGGAUUCAAUAGAAAAUAUGAUUGUUCCAAUAAAAAACUCUCAUUACUGAAUAUUAACAAGGCUAGCAUUCACAAAUGGUAAAAAGGAUAUGGUCAAUACAUAGAAUUAAAGCAAACUAAGAGAGAGCGAUCCUAAUUCAAUUCAAAGCAUCAAAUCUUGCUUAUGGUGGUAUGAAUAAAUAUUUUUAGGCAUUGGGUAGGAUAAAUAAAAAAUCUCAACCUGGUUAGAAGAUCUUGAUCAAUCUUAUUAUUUGCAGAGGUUGUAAAUAAACAAUAAAAUUUUAAAUCACCUCCAAUUCAAGUCUUACUCAUAAAGCAUAAUCAAAAUCGAAACACUUGAUCAUCAUAAAGAAUGGGUAUUGCAUAAACAACCCAAUUACUAAAACUCCACAACUAAGAUUUAGAAUUCAAGAUAAUGCUCAUGAUCCAAAGUUGCAAAGAUAAAAUAAAAGACAAGCAAGCCAAGGUAGACACUAAAAACACUAGCAUGAUCCUCGAAUUUUAUUCGUGCUUCUUCUCUCAAAGACGCUAAAGUAGCAAUCUAGGCCUAAGGCUUCCUAGAAGCUUAAGAAGACUACUAUUUUAUCUACUUUUGAUUGAAAUAAAAAUACUAAUUUAGACUCUCACACAACUUGACUCGACCAAACUAGAUCCAAAAACUCACACGAGUGACGAUCUCCCCCUCCCUCCCCC